GUGAAGGUGGCUCAGUGGUAGAGUGCUUGCCUCCCAUGCACGAGGUCCUGGGUUCGAUUCCUCUGCACC
rfam:Dipodomys ordii contig_64306, whole genome shotgun sequence.